AAAACAUUGUGUAGUCAGUGUGUAUUCUAGCUAAGUGGCAAGUGAGUGUGUGUGUGUGUGUGUGUGUGUGUGUGUUACAUCUGCAGUCCUACUGUUGUUACUACACAAGGGUUCUAAAAGUCUCAACAUUUUCUCUAUAUUCUCCAAAAAAGGUCAUUUCCAUUUAAUUGGAAAUGGCUAAUAAUGUUCCAAUUAAAGUGAGUGAUGAAGAGGGACAUAGAUAGAUAGAUUCUUACUAAAUGCCAGUCUCAUGACUUAAUAGCCCUACUAAUUAUGCUUUUUAAAAUGAUUGUUCUUGUUGUUUAUUGGAUUUUUCAUACAAUAUAUUUUGACUUUAUUCUUUUUACACGAUUCCCUACCCCCAACUCUUUCUAUAUCAUCUCCUUUCCCUCCACCUCCCACCCAUCCAACUUCAUGUUCUAUCUUUCAGGGGGAAAAAGAAAUCUGUGUAUUUGAAUUAGUGUUUUUUUUUUAAUUCUCAGGCAUCUUACAUUCUUUCUUCUACCUUUCCCUUAAAGGACUCUUUAUUACAAAGAUAUGUUCAAAUUAUAAAAUUAUUUUAUCUCCUCUCUACCUGUGUAAAGCCCCAUUCCCAUUAUCACCCCAAUUAAAAUGGCUCCUUCCACUU
rnacentral:lncRNA from 1 species